rnacentral:rRNA from 1 species
UACGGAGGGUGCUAGCGUUGUUCGGAAUUACUGGGCGUAAAGGGCGCGUAGGCGGCCGUUUGCGUCGGAUGUGAAAGCCCGGGGCUCAACCUCGGAACGGCAUUCGAUACGGGACGGCUGGAGACCGGGAGAGGAGAGUGGAAUAGCCAGUGUAGAGGUGAAAUUCGUAGAUAUUGGGAGGAACACCAAAGGCGAAAGCACUCUGCUGGGCCGCAACUGACACUGAGAGACGAAAGCGAGGGGAGCAAAUGGG